rnacentral:rRNA from 1 species
UACGGAGGGUGCAAGCGUUAUCCGGAAUUACUGGGUUUAAAGGGUGCGUAGGCGGCUUGAUAAGUCAGAGGCGAAAGCCUAUCGCUUAACGAUAGAAUUGCCUUUGAUACUGUAAAGCUUGAAAGGGGUUGAGGUCAGCAGAAGGUGGCAUGUAGCGGUGAAAUGCAUAGAUAUGCCAUAGAACACCGAUUGCGAAGGCAGCUGGCUGGGCCUACUUUGACGCUGAGGCACGAAAGCGUGGGGAGCGAACAGG